GCCCAAGAGUUCAUAUCGACGGCGGUGUUUGGCACCUCGAUGUCGGCUCAUCACAUCCUGGGGCUGAAGUAGGUCCCAAGGGUAUGGCUGUUCGCCAUUAAAGUGGUACGCGAGCUGGGUUUAGAACGUCGUGAGACAGUUCGGUCCCUAUCUGCCGUGGGCGCUGGAGAAUUGAGGGGGCUGCUCCUAGUACGAGAGGACCGGAGUGGACGCAUCACUGGUGUUCGGGUUGUCAUGCCAAUGGCACUGCCCGGUAGCUAAAUGCGGAAGAGAUAAGUGCUGAAAGCAUCUAAGCACGAAACUUGCCCCGAGAUGAGUUCUCCCUGAGACUUUAAGUCUCCUGAAGGAACGUUGAAGACGACGACGUUGAUAGGCCGGGUGUGUAAGCGCAGCGAUGCGUUGAGCUAACCGGUACUAAUGAACCGUGAGGCUUAACCUUACAACGCCGAAG
rnacentral:rRNA from 1 species